AUUGAACGCUGGCGGCAGGCCUAACACGUGCAAGUCGAGCGGAUGACGGGAGCUUGCUCCUUGAUUCAGCGGCGGACGGGUGAGUAAUGCCUAGGAAUCUGCCUGGUAGUGGGGGACAACGUUUCGAAAGGAACGCUAAUACCGCAUACGUCCUACGGGAGAAAGCAGGGGACCUUCGGGCCUUGCGCUAUCAGAUGAGCCUAGGUCGGAUUAGCUAGUAGGUGAGGUAAUGGCUCACCUAGGCGACGAUCCGUAACUGGUCUGAGAGGAUGAUCAGUCACACUGGAACUGAGACACGGUCCAGACUCCUACGGGAGGCAGCAGUGGGGAAUAUUGGACAAUGGGCGAAAGCCUGAUCCAGCCAUGCCGCGUGUGUGAAGAAGGUCUUCGGAUUGUAAAGCACUUUAAGUUGGGAGGAAGGGCAGUAAGUUAAUACCUUGCUGUUUUGACGUUACCGACAGAAUAAGCACCGGCUAACUCUGUGCCAGCCGCCGCAGUAAGAC
rnacentral:rRNA from 1 species